AAGGAAAAGGGUUUCCAACCAAAAGGAACGGGAGCCAAGUGCUGCCUUUAAAGCCGGCAGAGGAGUGGGUUGGCCCCGGGCACUUCCUUGCUGGCUUGCUGGUGGAUCAGGCAGAGCAUCAGCAGAAGGUGCUGCUGCUCUCAGCAGGAGGACUCUGUCCCAGUGGAGGGGUGGGGGCUCCAGCCCCCGUGUGCCUGAUCCCGAGGUGGGGCUGCUGGGUGCAGCUGUAAGACAAAACCUCGAGCAGCCGGGACGGAUGGGCUUCCCGCAGGUGAUGGGAACCACACCAAGCUGUAAUCCUCCAGCUCCAUCAAGGCGACUCCAAGGCUGCAGUUUGGGCGCUCACCUUUUCCUCCCCUCUGCCCCAGCAAGGCUGGCAGUUCCCCCUCAGUCUGCAAAGCCAGGAGCACUCCAGGCUGAGCACCAAAUAAUAACAGAAAGUUAAUUCAUGAAUAGUUACAGCGUUUCCUUCAAGGCCACUCUCACAGCAGGCCAGGCACUAACUUUGCCAUGUCCUUGGAGCAGGGGGGAGGGCACUGGCCCCAUUCAUCCCUACCUGGCCGCCCGCAGCCUUGGCCAGCUGGGCUCCAGGAUUUGCCCUUCUGCUUUUGUCAGCUCUGGCUUGCAUUGGAAGUUGUGGCCAGUCUGAAAAACGGAUUAUGACACAGCCCUUGCUGAGGUCAACACUGUGCUGGAGAAAGACAAGAAAAGGAUGAGUAGGUAGGCUUGGAAAAAGAGACAACAAAACCAGCAAAUCCACAAAAACCUAAACCCACCCACCCAAUCAAUAGGAUGCCAUGAAGUACGAUGUGAACAAUGAAACCCUGUUCCAGGUUGCCAAGGCAAAUCUGUCAAUAGAGUAUUGAACAAGCAAA